GAUUUUUCAGAAACAGAGCUUUCUAAAGUUU
rfam:Colius striatus contig27791, whole genome shotgun sequence.